rnacentral:rRNA from 1 species
AUACGUAGGGUGCGAGCGUUGUCCGGAAUUACUGGGCGUAAAGAGCUCGUAGGUGGUUUGUCGCGUCGUCUGUGAAAUUCCGGGGCUUAACUCCGGGCGUGCAGGCGAUACGGGCAGAACUUGAGUACUGUAGGGGAGACUGGAAUUCAUGGUGUAGCGGCGAAAUGCGCAGAUAUCAGGAGGAACACCGGUGGCGAAGGCGGGUCUAUGGGCAGUAACUGACGCUGAGGAGCGAAAGCAUGGGUAGCGAACAGGAUUAGAUACCCUGGUAGUCCAUGCCGUAAACGGUGGGCGCUAGGUGUAGGGGUCUUCCACGACUUCUGUGCCGUAGCUAACGCAUUAAGCGCCCCGCCUGGGGAGUACGGCCGCAAGGCUAAAACUCAAAUGAAUUGACGGGG